CAGGGUCCUAACAUUCUACUGGAUGACUCUCUUUCGGUUGAGGUGGAUAAGAACUUGCUAAAUGCAGUUAAAGAUUCAAUUGUUCAAGGGUUUCAGUGGGGUGCUAGAGAAGGCCCCUUGUGUGAUGAACCAAUUAGGAAUGUGAAGUUCAAGAUCCUAAAUGCAAAUAUCGCUCCAGAACCACUGCACCGUGGUGGCGGCCAAAUAAUCCCCACAGCUCGUCGGGUUGUCUACUCAGCAUUUCUGAUGGCCAAUCCUCGAAUUUUUUUGACCGAGCGGCCUGCCCGAACGUUUGAGGAGGGUUUGAGGGGUCCGGUUGUAGAUGUUGUAAGUUCUUCUAGACAUAUUUCUCUGGACAAACACUUCAUUGUUGAAGACUGGUUCUUCUAGCUA